rnacentral:rRNA from 1 species
ACGUGAUCUGAGUUCAGACCGGAGUAAUCCAGGUCGGUUUCUAUCUAUAACAAAGCUCAUUCCAGUACGAAAGGACCGAAAAAGCAUGGCCUCUGCCCAAAGCAAGCCUUCAUCAGAAAUUCCUGCUCACAACUCAACCAAUUACUAACCUAGCAUAAUUUUCAAGAUCAGAAA